CCGGCACGGGCGAGUAACACGUAUCCAACCUGCCGUCUACUCUUGGACAGCCUUCUGAAAGGAAGAUUAAUACAAGAUGGCAUCAUGAGUCCGCAUGUUCACAUGAUUAAAGGUAUUCCGGUAGACGAUGGGGAUGCGUUCCAUUAGAUAGUAGGCGGGGUAACGGCCCACCUAGUCUUCGAUGGAUAGGGGUUCUGAGAGGAAGGUCCCCCACAUUGGAACUGAGACACGGUCCAA
rnacentral:rRNA from 1 species